GACGAACGCUGGCGGCGUGCUUAACACAUGCAAGUCGAACGGAAAGGCCCUGCUUAGGGGGGGAGCGCGAGUGGCGAACGGGUGAGUAACACGUGAGUAACCUGCAAUUGACUGUGGGAUAACUUCAGGAAACUGGGGCUAAUACCGGAUAAGAGCUCCUGCUGCAUGAUGGGGGUUGGAAAGUUUCGGCGGUUGGGGAUGGACUCGCGGCGUAUCAGAUUGUUGGGUGGGUAGUGGCUUACCAAGGCUUUGACGGGUAGCAGGGCUGAGAGGGUGACAGGAUAAAUCAGGACUGAGCUACGGCACAGACUCCUCUGGGACGCAGGACUGCGGAAUAGUGCACAAUGCGAGGAAGCAUGAUGCAGCACAGCAGCGUCGGGGAUGACGGGCUUCGGUUUGUAUACUGAUUUCGCCUGUCACGAAGCGUGAGUGACGGUAAUGGGUGAAGAAGCUCCGGCUAACUACGUG
rnacentral:rRNA from 1 species